GUCAGAUAGUCUCUGAGAUCUUAGGAACCCUGUUUUGUUGUAUAUCCUCUGCCCUGAUAUGAAGAAAAGAUGAUUCUUACUGUGGGCUUUAGCUUUUUGUUUUUCUACAGGGGCACGCUGUGUGACAAAGUAACCCAGAGUUCCCCGGACCAGACGGUGGCGAGUGGCAGUGAGAUGCAAAAACCCAGGCCCAGAGAGAUGAAGAAACCUGGCUAAGGUAACAUGGUCUUUUCCACCCAGGUUGGAGUGAAGUGGCCCAAUAUCAACUCAUUGCAACCUCUGCCUCCUGGCUCAGACUCUCCUCCAGCCUCAGUCUUCCGAGUAGCUGGGACCACAGGUGCACACCACCACACCUGGCUAAUUUUCUGUAUAAAAAUAAAUAAUUUUUCUAAUGCUUUAUCCUGAAUCUGAAUUUGGGCUUCAGCUGUGAGGUUCACAGCAGCAGAGCUACUGCCAGAUCAACUGGUUAUAUCUGGUUGAGAGGGGGCGAUUGCUAGUCAGGAAGUUUCUGCUGAUCACGGCUUUGUAAAUGGACCAAAGUUGAUCAUGGUUUUCCUAGAAAAUCAACUAUUCAGAGAAACCCCCCAUCACUACCAUCAUCAUUCUCCCCGUUUCCUCUGCUGAGAAGCUCAACUAAAAGACUGAUUCUGUUUCAGUCACUCAGGGCAGGAAACUUAUUCCUAAGAAUCUGGUUCCUUAUGUUUUUGGCUUUAGUUCUAGACAAUUGAAAGGAUUAGACAUUUUUCAAAGGGCUUUCUUGGAACCUGCUUUCAACCUGCUUGAGAAAACUUCCCCUGUUUGGUUUCCUUGCAUAGCUGAAGCCACUUGAUAACAGAAAGUGAUAACUCUAGCAUUAACGGUUGGAAACCACAUGCAUUGCUCACUCACCUCCCUUCAUAAGUGCAACACUUCUUGCUCACUAUCUUGACUUUGGUUUGAGACAUACUCUGGCUGACUUUCAAGGGAGUUACAAGUUACAAAAGAAACUUGUCCAUAAAAUAAACACCCUAUCUCCUUGUUUAUUUAAGAGUAUCUCUUAAUCCUGGUCUGAUUUAGUUGGAUAAUUAAGGCUUGCUAGAAUUUUAAAAGCUAAAUUCAUCAGGCAGUUGUCAAAUCAUCACUUUGGGCUGGGGAGAUUGGGUUUGAGUAAUUUGAAUAAUACAAUAUAACUGAAAAGACAGAUGUCUGAAGAAGGUCAUGCACUUAUGAUAUUGUGCUCUGACUCUGUUAGUCAGCAUUUCAGAUAGAGCAUAAUACAUUGAUUUGAUAAAACAUUUUUCUGAAUCCCUCUUUCUACAUUAAUGUUUAUAUUUUCAAAACGAUUGUUUGAAAGAAAGUGUCUUAUAGAAUCCAUUGUUUGGCAUCUUGGUAACCAAAGAAAUGGGUGUCUGACUGAAUUAAACCUUUUUAAAAACUGGAGUGCACUCAAUAUAGUUGCCAUAUGCAUCCUAGUCUAUUUUGUAUUUGACUUAAACCCAGACGUGAAGCUGUAUGAAAUUGUAGUCCAGAAUUUAGAUUAAAGAUUUAAUCGUUUAUCUUUGAAGAACUUGUAGUCUUUUUUUCUUAGUCCACAAAUAUAAUUACAUUGCAACAUGUGUUUCAAGUGUUAUUUCUUUGGAAAAUUGCUUUAUUGUCAGACUUUCUCUUUUUAUGAACACCAAUACAUUGCUAAGUUUAUGUGCUGGUAAACAAUACCAAAAAAGUGUGUACCAUUCCUGAACAGUCUUUCUUAAUUUAUAAACUUAGAAGUCACCUAUGUUUUAGAUUCUCAUAGCUAGUCCUACUGAUCCCCUAAGAAUUGCAACAACUGUAAUAAAU
rnacentral:lncRNA from 1 species